UACGAAGGGGGCUAGCGUUGCUCGGAAUCACUGGGCGUAAAGCGCACGUAGGCGGAUCUUUAAGUCAGGGGUGAAAUCCCAAGGCUCAACCUUGGAACUGCCUUUGAUACUGGCGAUCUCGAGUCCGGGAGAGGUGAGUGGAACUCCGAGUGUAGAGGUGAAAUUCGUAGAUAUUCGGAAGAACACCAGUGGCGAAGGCGGCUCACUGGCCCGGUACUGACGCUGAGGUGCGAAAGCGUGGGGAGCAAAUGGG
rnacentral:rRNA from 1 species